CUGGCGGGUGAUUAUCUCAAGCGUUUCUGUGCAAAUGGCUUGGGCUGGGUUCUUCACCUGUUUUACUACUUUAGUGUUUUGCCAGUGUAUCACUGUCUUCUUUGUAGGCUUUAAGUGAUAGGGCCAUUGUCAUUUUGGCUUUCUCUAUGUCGCUCUUGUGUUCCUUGAUUCACUGCACCAGAGUUCUGGUAGUUACUCCUACAUAGGAUGCUCACUGGUUUGUGCGAUGAUUGGUAAUAGGUACGGUAUAGACUCCGGUUUGCUUUAGCUGGUCUCUGGGGUUCUUUUCAUUUCGUAAUGUGUUAAAAAGUAUGGGGGCUCUUAUAAUUGAUAUCUUCAUAUCUAAUUCUUUGGCUACUCUUUUAGUAAAUGGCAUGCUGGAGUACUGGUAUGGGACAAGGAGAAAACUUGAAUCCUGGUCUGAUCUGGGUUCAUUAGGUGGCUGGUUGUGUAGCUCUUCUCUUACUGCUUCAUGUAUGCAUCUCAAGAAACCCCUUCCAUAUCCAUGUCUGUAGUCCAUGUCAUAGAUGUAUCUGAUCUCUUGGUUUAAGUUGUGGAUGUCUACUGAGUAUAGUUCUAUUCUUUUAAAAACAAUCAAAAUGCGGCUUUCUUAAACGACAUAGGGUUGUCAGACCAUCUGGGUAUGAGGACGGAACAUAAGACGAUUUCUUAUACACUGCGGUUAUAAUCCUGCCUUCAUCGGAUUUUAUGUGGAUAUCAAGAUAGUGCACCUUCCGCUUGCUCAUUUGAUCUAGUUUUAACUUUAAGCCAUGAGCCAGCAGGGUUAAGGCAAAGGUAAGUUCAUCGUUGUCUGGCUCAUCUUUCCAAACGACCAGGAUGUCGUCUAUAUAUCUGAUAAAGAAUUUUUAUUUUGGCUGGAGAGCACAGAUGAUGGGUUUCUCCACCUCUCUAAGUACGAUUUCGGCAAGAGCUCCGCCCAUAGGGCUGCCGAUGAAUACCCCUUUAGUUUGUUUAUAAAACACCCCUCUAAACUUAAAAUAAGAGUGGUGGCAGAUGAGGUGAGCAAGGUCUCUAAGGAAGAAGCUAAGGUGUCUGGAUCGUUUGAGUUACUAAGCAGAAACCUGUAAAAAAAGGAGGCAUGUAGGCUCUAGGUUCAAUCAGGGGUACAAGGAUUCAUAAUCGUACAUUGCAAAGGUGCUCUGCUGUUGGAGAUCCAACUGGCAUAUCUUAGUUAAGGUGUCUAUCGUUGAGAUGGUGGAGCAAAUGGUAGCGUCAGUACUUAAGAUGUUAAUGCACCAUUUGGCCAAGGCAUGUUCAAGGCCGUAGGUGGGCAUCUUAUUUUUUUCUACUAUGGGCCGCAGUGCUGGUGGGUCUUUGUGCAAUUUCCAAUAUGCAAAGAGCAUCAGGCAGGCCGGUGCCACUGUCUUCUUGUGCUUCCAACAGCUCAGGAAGAGGUGGUGUAUGGUUAAUUUUUCAAGUGCGCUCUUUAGUUCGAAAGUGGAGUUCUUAAGUAGGAUAUCAGGACUUGUUUCUUUUAUAUACUUAUGGAGAAGUCAUGGGCACUGACACAUACUCGGACUCCUCUAUAAGUAUAUACAAGAGGAGUCAUAGUAUGUGUCAGUAACUGCCGAGUAGUGCUGUAUAUGAACUAGUUAUUGUUAAUAAAAAUAUCCUAACAUUUUAUGUAUUUUUAUGUAUAAAAUAUUAACAGAUAAACUAGAAGAAAAUAUGCAAUCUGUAUCAAUUAACAUGCAAUAAAUAAUUAGUUUAUUUAUAUAGACUUUUUCAUAUAUAUUUCGUGUCUGACAUUGCAGCCUUUACAAAAA
rnacentral:lncRNA from 1 species